GUUUUAAUCUAUUAGGCUGAAGGAUAAAAUGUCUUCUUAAAACGAUUUGAUUAAUCAAAAUAAGUGUGUUUCUUUCUAAGAUUGUUGGCCUACGUGAGUCUGAACGAAAAUUACAAGUGCAGAUUGAAGAACAGGAAAUGAAGUCCAUGCACCAGAAAAACAUGAUGCAUGAAUUGGAAUCUGCACUUGAACAGAUCAAGUUGCAGUGUGACAGACAGCUCACUCACCAGCGCCAAGAACAUGAGAAAAAAAUACAGUUUAUAUUGAAUCAUUUCAAAGAACAAAAUAGUGAAAGUGUUGCAGAAACCCUGAAAGGGUAUGAAGUAAAAAUCCAGCAACUGGAAAAAGAUUUAUUUUUCUAUAAGAAAACCAGCAGAGAGCUGAAAAAGAAAUUGAAGGGCCUUCUUGGAGAGUCACCUGAAUAACUAUUGUCAUCCACUAAAUGGUCAUACUGAUGCCACUUUUCACAACUGUGGACCCUGGGACCACACAGGAUAAAGUGUGCAUAAUUAUAUCCUGACAGAUAGAACACUACUGAGUGGAAUGAAGUAAUCAGUUUUGUUACCAGUCUGAUUCAAACUAAACCCCCCUCAUUUGGAGAGGUGGUAUGUGUUUUCAUUAUCUGCUGUGCCACAGAAAAUAUUACCAAGAGUUACAAGACCAAGACUUUUAUUCUAAUCAAAUCAGCAGUGCCCAUCACUUGGAAAUGUGACUUCUUUUCCAACAUGUUUGUAUUUGUAAGCAAUUUUUAAUUAGGAAAUUCAGGAUAUUUAUCUUUUCACAAAAACUAAUUAAUCUGUUUUAAGGUACAAUUAAAUUGCUAAAUUAUUUUUAGAGAGAGUAAUUUGAUUAUUCUAUAUUAUAAAAUAGAAGCCAAAAUCCAAAAGACUGAUUACCUUCUAUUCUAUAAAUUUGUCUUCCCUUUAGUUUUAAUUUGUCUGCUUAUCCCUAUUUGACAGAUUUAGUUUGAUGUUCUUUUUCUUUCAGGACAUUUAGUUAAAGCUUUGCCCACCUCCUGCCCUGUGAUGCCCCAAUGUAGGACUAACCUGUGUUGUUUCUUGUGCUAUUGAAUUUGACAUACUUAAAAAUUAGUUUGUAUUAUGCUUGCUGAUCAAAAGGAGUUCUAUUUAAAUAAAACCAAAAUUGGAUUCUAGAAGUGCCUGUUGAUGUCAUCAUAAAAAAAUCCACAAAAAAUAGUUUUUAAGUGUUAAAGAAACAAACAUGUUUCUAAUUUGGGCAAUGUUAAUACACAACUCAACACAACUCCUUUCCCUGUUCACCACUUGCUGUAUUAGCCUGUCUAGUAUAGAAUUAGAUUAUAGAAUCUAUCCAGUAUAAAUCACAUAGAAAUUCUUCAAUCGGC
rnacentral:lncRNA from 12 species